UUUAUCCCCACCCCCUUGGGCAUCAUUGCUGGUCAAAUGUGAUCCCAAGCCACACAUAGUCACUUUGACUAGUGCAUAAGUGUUGGAAACAAAAGACUGGAGGUAAUUUUUUCUCAUUUCUCAUCUUGAAAUGCACAAAGAAGCACUCAAUCUGAAAUAGAAACAUUUAAAAUAUAGUUAAAACUAUUGUUGCAACUUUGCUUGAUUGUCAUCCCUUAUAUUCCAGGAACACGAACAGCAAUGCUCAAGGUAUCUCAUUCUGUGCAAGGAAUUUCUACGUGGACAGCUAAUGAGCCCCAGAGAACUUAUGAGGUAUGAGGACAGAAUUGAAAGAUUGGAAAACGAAACUAAUCUCCAGAAAGACUGGAUAAAGCAUUUGGAAGAACAGCAAGUUGUACAUCAUCAGACGUUUCUUUCUCAAGUUAACGAGUUGGAAAGUAGAAUGAACCAUUUGCAAGAGCAAGUUGGGCAUAUAGCAUCAGAACAGAUUAAUCCCCAAUGCUUUGAUGCUGCCAAUGUCAAGAAUGCAGAAUAUCACAAAAAAGUGGAUAUUUUGUGCCAUCAAAAUAGGCAGUAUAAUGAGCAAUGCAAGCUUCAGGUAACAGCAAGCAGCAACUCGUACAAAAUUAAGGCCUUUUUUUACUUUCAAUGUACUUAAAAUGCCCCUGGUUACUGGAGUGUUAUAUACUGUACAAAGUAAAGAGCUUUUAAUAUAAAAAUUAGGUAAAACCUAAUAGCGGAGCUCCCAAAAGAUAUGCAUGUUGGAUGAAGAUGUGAUGCAAGACUCACAUUGGUCAGAUUUUGAGUACAUGUUUUGUCGAGACUAAUUUAUUUUUGCUAACAAAAAAAAUUCCAUGGCACUCCAAAGCACUGAUAUAUACAAUUAUAUGUAAAGAAAACCACU